CAGUCGCCGCGGGAAUACGAAGGGUGCAAGCGUUAAUCGGGAUUACUGGGCGUAAAGCGUGCGUAGGCGGUUUGUUAAGUCUGCUGUGAAAUCCCCGGGCUCAACCUGGGAAUGGCAGUGGAUACUGGCAAGCUAGAGUGUGUCAGAGGAUGGUGGAAUUCCCGGUGUAGCGGUGAAAUGCGUAGAGAUCGGGAGGAACAUCAGUGGCGAAGGCGGCCAUCUGGGACAACACUGACGCUGAGGCACGAAAGCGUGGGGAGCAAACAGGAUUAGAUACCCCAGUAGUCCCUGUCUCUUAUAC
rnacentral:rRNA from 1 species